rnacentral:rRNA from 1 species
GCAGCCGCCGCGGGAAUACGGAGGAUCCAAGCGUUAUCCGGAAUCAUUGGGUUUAAAGGGUCCGUAGGCGGUCUUGUAAGUCAGUGGUGAAAGCCCAUCGCUCGACGGUGGAACGGCCAUUGAUACUGCAGGACUUGAAUUAUUGGGAAGUAACUAGAAUAUGUAGUGUAGCGGUGAAAUGCUUAGAGAUUACAUGGAAUACCAAUUGCGAAGGCAGGUUACUACCAAUUGAUUGACGCUGAUGGACGAAAGCGUGGGUAGCGAACAGGAUUAGAUACCCCAGUAGUCCCUGUCUCUUAUAC